rnacentral:rRNA from 1 species
GGGAAGUGGGGAUGCUUACCAUGCAAGUCGAACGGAUGUUUUCGGACAUUAGUGGCGGACGGGUGAGUAACGCGUGAGAAUCUGCCUAUAGGUUGGGGACAACAGAUGGAAACGUCUGCUAAUACCCGAUGUGCCGAGAGGUAAAAGCUUUAGUGCCUGUAGAUGAGCUCGCGUCCGAUUAGCUAGUUGGUUAGGUAAAAGCUGACCAAGGCGACGAUCGGUAGCUGGUCUGAGAGAAUGAUCAGCCACACUGGGACUGAGACACGGCCCAGACUCCUACGGGAGGCAGCAGUGGGGAAUUUUCCGCAAUGGGCGAAAGCCUGACGGAGCAAUACCGCGUGCGGGACGAAGGCUUUUGGGUCGUAAACCGCUUUUGUUAGGGAAGAAUAAAUGACGGUACCUAACGAAUCAGCAUCGGCUAACUCCGUGCCAGCAGCCGCGGUAAUACGGGGGAUGCAAGCGUUAUCCGGAAUUAUUGGGCGUAAAGCGUCCGCAGGUGGUUUAUCAAGUCUGCUGUCAAAGCGUGGGGCUUAACCCCAUAAAGGCAGUGGAAACUGAGAGACUAGAGUACGGUAGGGGUAGCGGGAAUUCCCAGUGUAGCGGUGAAAUGCGUAGAUAUUGGGAAGAACACCAGCGGCGAAGGCGCGCUACUAGGCCGAAACUGACACUCAUGGACGAAAGCUAGGGGAGCGAAAGGGAUUAGAUACCCCUGUAGUCCUAGCUGUAAACGAUGACAACUAGGUGUUGCGCGUAUCGACCCGUGCAGUGCCGUAGCUAACGCGUUAAGUUGUCCGCCUGGGGAGUACGCACGCAAGUGUGAAACUCAAAGGAAUUGACGG